GACAGAGGGUGCAAACGUUGUUCGGAAUUACUGGGCGUAAAGGGCGUGUAGGCGGCAACGCAAGUCGGAUGUGAAAGCCCAUGGCUCAACCAUGGAAGUGCACCCGAAACUGCGUUGCUAGAGUCUCGGAGAGGAAGGUGGAAUGCUUGGUGUAGAGGUGAAAUUCGUAGAUAUCAAGCGGAACACCGGUGGCGAAGGCGGCCUUCUGGACGAGUACUGACGCUGAGACGCGAAAGCGUGGGUAGCAAACAGG
rnacentral:rRNA from 1 species